rnacentral:rRNA from 1 species
GAUGAACGCUGGCGGCGUGCCUAAUACAUGCAAGUCGAGCGAAUGGAUUAAGAGCUUGCUCUUAUGAAGUUAGCGGCGGACGGGUGAGUAACACGUGGGUAACCUGCCCAUAAGACUGGGAUAACUCCGGGAAACCGGGGCUAAUACCGGAUAACAUUUUGAACCGCAUGGUUCGAAAUUGAAAGGCGGCUUCGGCUGUCACUUAUGGAUGGACCCGCGUCGCAUUAGCUAGUUGGUGAGGUAACGGCUCACCAAGGCAACGAUGCGUAGCCGACCUGAGAGGGUGAUCGGCCACACUGGGACUGAGACACGGCCCAGACUCCUACGGGAGGCAGCAGUAGGGAAUCUUCCGCAAUGGACGAAAGUCUGACGGAGCAACGCCGCGUGAGUGAUGAAGGCUUUCGGGUCGUAAAACUCUGUUGUUAGGGAAGAACAAGUGCUAGUUGAAUAAGCUGACACCUUGACGGUACCUAACCAGAAAGCCACGGCUAACUACGUGCCAGCCGCCGCGGUAA